GGUUAUGACACAUGGUCUGUAAAAUUUUUAUCUGUGAAUUUAGAUACCACGUAUGUGGUAUCGCCUUCAAAAUCAAUUAAGUUAUUCUAUCAUUUACUUUAAUACGAUUUCCUACGUUGAUUCUGAUAGAUUAAAAUAAUUAUCAAAUGUGGAAACAAAGAAAAUCUCUUAAAUCAUGUUGGUGCUUACCUAGAAAAGUGAUAAAUAUAUAUUCGGAAAAAGAAUCAUCUGCUGAAAAAAUAGUAAAAAAUAAAAAGAAGAAGAGAAUGAAGUCUUCGUUUUCUAAAUUUUUUAAACGAUAGAAGAAACGCAAUAAGAAUAUAAAAAAAGUAAUGAAACAUAUGAAACGAGUUCAACGAUUAUCUCAACCCAAAAUCAUUACGCAAUCAUCAAAACAAGAAUGGAAUUCGGUUACGUCUAGAAAAACGAAAAAACGGACUUCACCUCCGACAGUGUCGAAAAGAGUAAUGGAAUUAGCGCUACCAAAAAAUUUAACUACUUUGAACGAUUUUUCGAAAGAUGUACGAGAUCCUUUUAAAGUAAGACCAUCUGCUUUGAAGGCUAUUUGUUCCCUCCGAACUAAAUUACUCGCUAAACCAAAAUAUGUAGAGAAUUCUUUCGGUGAACCACGUAAUAGCGUUACUCCAUAAUUUCAUUGUAUCGUAAAUAACAUUUGUAGAUAUGAAUUUGUAAACUACUGUAAAAUUAUCAAAAAGAAAGUAAU